rfam:Gossypium raimondii Chr12_contig_857, whole genome shotgun sequence.
UGUUAAAAAAUUAUUUAUUUUUAUUGAUAAAAAUAAUUAGACAAUUACAUGUGAUGUGCCACGUAUAUCUUAUUCUGAUGUAUAAGAACUAGUUUUUAGCAGUAGAAAUGGAUGGAAUUUUUAACA